UACAGAGGUGGCAAGCGUUGUUCGGAAUUACUGGGCGUAAAGGGCGCGUAGGCGGUUCGUUAAGUCCUGUGUGAAAUCCCCCGGCUCAACUGGGGAACUGCACAGGAAACUAGCGGGCUUGAGUUCGGGAGAGGGAAGCGGAAUUCCGGGUGUAGCGGUGGAAAUGCGUAGAUAUCCGGAGGAACACCGGUGGCGAAGGCGGCU
rnacentral:rRNA from 1 species